rnacentral:lncRNA from 7 species
AAUUAGGAGGUUUGUGUUGUGUUCUGCUGCUUUUUAUCUGUUAGAGGCUGGUUCUGUUGAGUGACAGCAUGGGGAGCAACUUCAGCAUGCAGACCUGCUGUGGGAGUUGUAAGAAGCAGGAGGAAGCAUAUGAAGAGACUAGUGAGACCAAGCCAAUUCUGCACACCUCAGGGGGCACACCAAUGCACACUGAUACGCAGCCUCCCCCACCAGCCCUGGAAGCCUCUGAAAGAAUCUCUGAAGAAGCUCAGUCACUCUGCUGGGACCAACAGCUGUCAGCUGAUAUUGCAGAGGGGAGCACGGAGACCUGCUGUCCUGCAGAUCCCAUGGGAAUGAUCGAGGAAUGGAAGACAGCCUGGAGCUCUGUGGAUUUCUUGGUGACAUCCUCAGGCAGGGAGACCAAAGAAGAGGCUGAAGUCCUGGAUCAGCAAGAAGGAGAGAAAGCAUGUAAUGCAGAAGAGAAAAUAAAACCUACUCCUUAUGAUGAGGCCCAGCUGGCUAUGCACACAGCUCAGGAUCUGAAGCUUGUUGCAGAUAUAGGACAGCCUGCUGAACAGGCUGGGGCUGGCAGUGAGGAUGACCAACAUGCUGAAAUAACUCCCCAAGAAAUAAAUAAUCUCGAGCUCAUGGAAAGCACAUGGGAAACUGCAGCUGCUCAAGACUUUGAGAUAGAGCCUCCCAUGGAGACUGGUGAGAGUUUCACAGGAUGGAACUUGCCACUCUGUGUUGUGCAGAAGAUGGCAAAAGAGGCUGAGACCGACCUUCCUGCUGGGCACACAGAGCAGGCAGACAGGGCUGGCCUUGCUGAAGGAAGUACUGAACUCACUGAGAGUGUCCAGAUCACACCUCUUGCAAAGGCUGCCUCUCUAAUGAAUGUGCAGGCUGCAGAGGAGACUGAGAAUGCAGUGGAUCCUUCAGAAGCCAUAGUGAAUGCUGUGGCUGAGAUGCACUCUGUUUCUGCAGUGCCUCAGGAAACCCUGUAUCCAGGAGGGCAGACUCCAGAGCCAGCCAACCAGCUGCUUGACUUACAGCAAGAGGCUCAGUCUGGUGUGCCAACUGCACGAGAGGUGCAGAGCCAAAGCUGUGCAGAACCUGCUGAACUCGGUGAGGUUUUAAGUGAUGAAGACCAGGAAGUCCUUUGUGAUACAGCAGACAGUGAGGAGAGCAGGGAAUGUGAUCUGGAAACUCCAGCAGAUGAGGCUCACAGACACCGAAUCAAACCUUCCAACCACCUCCUUUUCUACUUGCACAUUUGGUGACUGUUACUUUGGAAGCAUUGAACGUGCUUUCAUGAGUCAAUGAAAUAAUACUCUGGUUUGUUCUUUGUAUUUCUGGUGAUAGCUGAUACAAUCUGUACUCUGUGCUCAUACAAUCUGUACUCUGUGCAGAACUUAAAGAAACAAAUGUAGUCUUGAUCAGAAUGCAUAAGUCAGUGUAUUGCGGUUUAAAUCUACUGACUUUUAAUGUUCAUGACUUUAUGACACCAAUAAAAUAUUUUAAGAUCAUG